rnacentral:rRNA from 1 species
AACGAACGCUGGCGGCAUGCCUAACACAUGCAAGUCGAACGAAGUCUUCGGACUUAGUGGCGCACGGGUGCGUAACGCGUGGGAAUCUGCCCUUGGGUACGGAAUAACUCAGAGAAAUUUGUGCUAAUACCGUAUAAUGUCUUCGGACCAAAGAUUUAUCGCCCAAGGAUGAGCCCGCGUAAGAUUAGCUAGUUGGUGGGGUAAAAGCCUACCAAGGCGACGAUCUUUAGCUGGUCUGAGAGGAUGAUCAGCAACACUGGGACUGAGAUACGUCCCGGACUCCUACGGGAGGCAGCAGUGGGGAAUAUUGGACAAUGGGGGAAAGCCUGAUCCAGCCAUGCCGCGUGAGUGAUGAAGGCCUUAGGGUUGUAAAGCUCUUUUACCAGGGAUGAUAAUGACAGUACCUGGAGAAUAAGCUCCGGCUAACUCCGUGCCAGCAGCCGCCGUAAGAC